rnacentral:tRNA from 1 species
AGAAGUAUGAUGACUCAAAUAAAAGCUGCUAACUUUUUACUUUAAUGGUUAAAUUCCAUUUAUACUUCUA